rnacentral:lncRNA from 10 species
CAUGUGCUAGUAAUAGAAGUAUCUUUCAAUUUUCCCUUAGAUACUAGUCAAUAGAGUCGUUUUACAUAUUCAGCUAAUCUCAUCAGAUUCAAACACCUUGCAAAAAGGACCAUUCUAUUUCCUCAGAGUUCAACAAGUUCACGUAGUUAGCGGGUGUACAAAUACGUCUAUAAAUGCUGUCUGACUAAAUCCCCUCGUCACACUCAAAACCAAAGUGUGUGUAUGAGAGAAGAAUGUUUAAAACCACUACCAGAACAAUGCUAUAGUAACUAGAGAAUGAUGCCUUUCAAAAGAGAACAGUGAGAAUUAAACAACAAAAAUCACCUUGGCAAUGUUUUCAAAAUCACUGCAUUGUUUAGUUUCAUAGAACAAUAAUCAUACUUCCACUUUUUCAGAAAUGCUUAUAUUCUAUCAAUAGAUGAUGUUUCGAACUCUACUUCUCUCAAGCAAUGCAAAAAUAAUGACGAUUAGUUAAAUACUUACUUGGUGGUUCUGUAAGUAUAUUUAUAGGUGACUUCUCGAGAAAUCUGUCGAGCCAAGGCAAAAAGCUCAUCUCUUCUUGUCAGCAGGGCAUUAUCCUUCACACAGAGUUGAGCAGCCGCUUCAUUAACAGUGAGCUGGAUAUCCAAAACAGAGUUUCAAAAUUAAGAACAUUUUAAUUUCAUCAAAAUGCAAAAGGUUUCACUUAAAAUAUAAGAAUGUUACACCAUUAUAUAAUGGAAUCAUUAUUCAUAAAAAUCAGAAUGGUAUUUAUUCCUAAUUAUUCCUAAUGCCGAAUUUCAGAAGAAAACCAACUCAUCUGCCAUCUCACAGAGCCCAAAUUAAUCAUAAUAGUCAUCUUGAUUUUAUUUAUUUAUAUCCUUUUUUUGGUUAGAUAGGAGAGUUUAUAGACGACAAGGAAAAUAAAAAGUAAAAAAUAUUCUGCAACUCGCUUAUAAAAAAACCCAAAAUAUUAGAAUACAGGAUUUGCUGACACCAUUUCUCUAACCAAAAAUGAAUGUAGAUGGUCUGACAGAUUUUUUAUGAACUGACAUGAAAAUUCUUAAAAAGGAAUCAAGACCAUAUGAUUUUAAACAUUUAUCAAAUCACUUAGUAAAAAACAGAGUUAUCAUAUACUAGGGCUAUAUUGGAAAAUCAAGGUGUUGGACUAAUCUCUAAGAUCCAUCUAAUUCUACCACCCUUUCAUAAUUCAGUAAUUAUUAAAUAUUGCCAAUAUAGAGUUGCUAGUUGACCAAACACUUUGUACUAAAAUUUUGUUACCCUAAACACAAAAUCUGUAAUUGUUUAACAAACUAGAAAUUUUUUCACAUAAUUUUGUCAAUAGAUAUAGGAAACUGUCAAGAGGUAUAUCAGACUUUUUUAAUAUGCAAAAGAUGUACUUAGCCAAGGCAUGAUGAUUAGCAAAAAGAAAAUGGGACGUGAUGGCAGACAGACCUGAGGAGAGUCCUGCUUCAUCAUUUACCAGCUGUGACUCUGGACAUGCAAAACUUUUGAGAGGCUUGGUACUUGGUAUUCUGAGAGGCAAAAUGGGAUAAUAUCACUAUCCCAAAAGGCUCUAACAAGAUGUAGAUGAGGAGACACACCUGGCAUAAGGUUGUGGUUAGUGUUAAUUCUUGUUUUCUUUUCAUAAGAAAUCAGGUACGGCAGUACCCCCUUACCCACAGUUUUGCUGUCUGAGGUUUCAGUUACCUGUGGUCAACUGGGACCCAAAAAUAUUAAAUGAAAAAUUAUACAAAUAAACAAUUCAUAAGUUUUAAACUGUGUGCCAUCUCACUCUGUCUCAUCCAAGUGAUGAAUCAUCCCUUUGUCCAGUGUAUCUACACUGUCUAUACUCCUGGCUGUCAGUCACUUGGUGGCCAUCUCAGUCAACAGAUGGACUCUUCUGAUAUCUCAGUGCUCAUAUUCCAGUUACCCUUAUUUGACUCAACAAUGGCCCCAAAGUGCAAGAGCAGUAAUGCUGGCAUAUUGUUCUAAUUGUCCUACUUUAUUAUUAUUAAUAGUUAUUGUUGUUAAUCUCUUGCUGUGCCUAAUUUAUAAGUUAAACUUUAUCAUAGGUAUGCAUGUAUAGGGACGAACAGUAUAUAUAAGGUUUGGUACCAUUUGCAGUUUCAGGCAUCCAACUGGGGGUCUUGGAAUGUGUCCCUCACAGAUAAGAGGGGACUACUGUAGUCACCC